rnacentral:rRNA from 1 species
AGCAGCCGCGGUAAUUCCAGCUCCAAUAGCGUAUAUUAAAGUUGUUGCAGUUAAAAAGCUCGUAGUUGAAUUUCGGGGUCAGUAGGUCGGUCGUGCCACUGGUAUGAACUGGUUUUACUGAUUCCUCCCUCUUGAAGAACUGUAAUGCCAUUAAUUUGGUGUUUGCAGGGAAUCAGGACUGUUACUUUGAAAAAAUUAGAGUGUUUAAAGCAGGCUUUAGCUUGAAUACAUUAGCAUGGAAUAAUGAAAUAGGACGUUUGAUCCUAUUUUGUUGGUUUCUAGGAUUGACGUAAUGAUUAAUAGGGAUAGUUGGGGGCAUUAGUAUUCAAUUGUCAGAGGUGAAAUUCUUGGAUUUAUUGAAGACUAACUACUGCGAAAGCAUUUGCCAAGGAUGUUUUCAUUAAUCAAGAACGAAAGUUAGGGAUCGAAGACGAUCAGAUACCGUCGUAGUCUUAACCAUAAACUAUGCCGACUAGGGAUCGGAUGAUGUUAAUUUUUUAAUGUACUUCAUUCGGCGCCU